rfam:Asian citrus Psyllid, Diaphorina citri - Florida Strain, whole genome shotgun sequence.
GCCUAGUUAGCUUGGUUGGUAGCACGUCUGCCUUGUAAGCGCUAGGCCGCGGGUUCGAUUCCCGCACGGGGCG